UACGGGGGAGCAAGCGUUGUUCGGAUUUACUGGGCGUAAAGGGCGCGUAGGCGGCCAGCACAAGUCAGUUGUGAAAUCUCCGAGCUUAACUCGGAAAGGUCAACUGAUACUGUGCGGCUAGAGUGCGGAAGGGGCAACUGGAAUUCUUGGUGUAGCGGUGAAAUGCGUAGAUAUCAAGAGGAACACCUGCGGCGAAGGCGGGUUGCUGGGCCGACACUGACGCUGAUGCGCGAAAGCCAGGGGAGCGAACGGG
rnacentral:rRNA from 1 species